CGCGCCGUGGCGGCCAGCAGGGGUAUGGAGGUAGAGCAAGGGCCAGCAUGAGGGUGGGCAGCUCCGACAGUGGUAGGAACCGGAACGAACUGCAGGAAUAAGGCCAGCCUCUCUUGGUACGAAGAUGGGGAGACUAAGGCCCAAAGAGGGUCUGAGACUUGCCCAGGGGCGCGCAGCGGGGCGGCCGCCGAGCUGGCCUCUCCCCUGUGUGAUGGGUCUGGCAGAGGCAGAGCCAGAGCCUUCUUGCUGCGCGACUUUGGACAAGACUCUUCCCUGUUCCUUUCCCUGGCUUUUGUUGAAAGAAGUGACAGGUUGGAGCGUUUGGAAAGGUUACCUACGUUUGGAAAGCUUCUGCUUCUCAGUAAGAAAGUUGGAAAGGAAAUUUCCAAGUUGCUGAUAACAAACUUAGGCUGUUUUGGAGCUGAGAAGAGAAGCUGAGAUUGGCUGCAGUGAAAAGAGACAUUGUUUCUGCCCUCUAGAACAGAAGGAAAUGAAAUGACUGAAACUGAAACAUGAAGGACUGAGGUUAGAUACAUAUAGGGACUUCCAAAGAGAAAUUUCGAAGCACCUCCUUUGGAGUUGGUGGGUUUUAUUUUUUGGCUGUUGGUUUUGUUUUGUCAAGAAACGGAAUUUCUACCUAUCCAUUUGAUGGGGCCUAAGUCGGUCUCAGUUCUUCAGAAAGAGCGAGA